UCAUGUGACCCUUAACUUUAAGGUUCUUACGUCACAAUAUCACUUUCUCUUUUCACUUGCAUUCUUUGACUUGCACUAGUGUCAUAUACACUACUUUGUUCUUUAUACUCAUUUACUAAUGCCACACUUAUUCUCUAAGGUAUCGUUUGGUUCGAGGAUAAGCAAAAAAUGACUAUUCCAGGAAUAGGUAUAAAUUGAGGUAUAAGCGGGGAUUAGAUCAAUUUUGCGUUUGGAUGAAAAUUGCGUUAUUCCUGGGAAUAAAAAAAAUAGCGUUUGGUUAGAUAAGAUGGAAUAAGAAAGAUAGUGGAUUUUAUAAAUAAAAACUAAUCAUAUUAUUCUCUUAUUAUAUUUGAAUUUAAAUUUUUAAAUUUUUAAAUAUAUAUUUUUAAAUUUAAAAUUUUAACUUU
rnacentral:lncRNA from 1 species